rnacentral:rRNA from 1 species
GAGUUUGAUCGUGGCUCAGAUUGAACGCUGGCGGCGUGCCUAACACAUGCAAGUCGAGCGGUAACAGGUGUAGCAAUACAUGCUGACGAGCGGCGGACGGGUGAGUAACGCUUGGGAAUCUGCCUGUUAGUGGGGGACAACCAACCGAAAGGUUGGCUAAUACCGCAUACGCACUACGGUGGAAAGCCGGGGACCGCAAGGCCUGGCGCUAACAGAUGAGCCCAAGUCGGAUUAGCUAGUUGGUAGGGUAACGGCCUACCAAGGCGACGAUCCGUAACUGGUCUGAGAGGACGACCAGUCACACCGGAACUGAGACACGGUCCGGACUCCUACGGGAGGCAGCAGUGGGGAAUAUUGGACAAUGGGGGAAACCCGGAUCCAGCGACGCCGCGUGGGUGAAGAAGGCCUGCGGGUUGUAAAGCCCUUUCGGUUGGGAAGAAAAGCUGCGACCUAACACGUCACGGCCUUGACGUAACCAACUAAAGAAGCACCGGCUAACUCUGUGCCAGCAGCCGCGGU